rnacentral:rRNA from 1 species
UACGAAGGGGGCUAGCGUUGCUCGGAAUUACUGGGCGUAAAGCGUGCGCAGACGGUUGCGUAAGUCAGAUGUGAAAGCCCCGGGCUCAACCUGGGAAUUGCAUUUGAGACUGCGUAGCUAGGGUGCGGAAGAGGGAAGCGGAAUUUCCGGUGUAGCGGUGGGAUGCGUAGAUAUCGGAAGGAACACCAGUGGCGAAAGCGGCUUCCUGGUCCAGCACCGACGUUCAGGCACGAAAGCGUGGGGAGCAAACAGG